GGUUGUAGCUCAGUGGUAGAAAACUUGCCUAGUAGGUAUGAGGCCCUGGGUUCAAUCCCAGCACCA
rnacentral:tRNA from 1 species